rnacentral:rRNA from 1 species
UGCAGAGGGUGCGAGCGUUAAUCGGAAUUAUUGGGCGUAAAGCGCACGUAGGCGGCUUUGCAAGUCCCAUGUGAAAUCCCACGGCUCAACCGUGGAAGUGCAUGGGAAACUGCAGAGCUUGAGUACUUAAGAGGAUCGCGGAAUUCCCGGUGUAGAGGUGAAAUUCGUAGAUAUUCGCAAGAACACCAGUGGCGAAGGCGGCUCACUGGCCCGAUACUGACGCUGAGGUGCGAAAGCGUGGGGAGCAAACAGG